GUCUUUUGGUUAUUGUUUUUGGUUUGUAUAUGAGGGGGAAAAAAAAAUGGGGGGGGGGUUGUGUUGGGAGAAGAAAAAAAGAAUCGUGGGCCCAAGGGCGGCUCGCUCUUCCUUUGGCCCGCAAAAGCGAGAAAAAAAAAGAGACGAACCCACCCGAAAAGCCCACGAUCGAGCACACAGAGAGGGUGUCAAAACGAUCAGGGUAUUUCACUGAUGAUCCUUCCGCAGGUUCACCUACGGAAA
rnacentral:misc_RNA from 1 species